GUCUAUAACUCAUAACCCUUUGUGAACCUUUAUACCUGUUGCUUCGGCGGCGCGCCUCCCGGGGCGUGCCCGCCGGUAUCAUCAGAAUCUCUGUUCGAACCCGACGAUAUUUCUGAGUGUUCUAAGCGAACUGUUAAAACUUUCAACAACGGAUCUCUUGGCUCCAGCAUCGAUGAAGAACGCAGCGAAACGCGAUAUGUAAUGUGAAUUGCAGAAUUCAGUGAAUCAUCGAAUCUUUGAACGCACAUGGCGCCUUCCAGUAUCCUGGGAGGCAUGCCUGUCCGAGCGUCGUUUCAACCCUCGAGCCCCCGUGGCCCGGCGUUGGGGAUCUGCCCAGGCAGUCCCCGAAAACCAGUGGCGGACCCGUUACAGGCCCUUCCCUUGCGUAGUAGCAUUCGCCUCGCAUCGGGAGCCGGCGGGCUUCCAGCCUCUAAACCCCCAUCAAGUCCGCCCCGGCGGCACCAAGGUUGACCUCGGAUCAGGUAGGAAUACCCGCUGAACUUAAGCAUAUCAAUA
rnacentral:rRNA from 1 species